rnacentral:pre_miRNA from 1 species
UUCAAGUAAUCCAGGAUAGGUUGUGCCAUGCCUUUCAGCCUGUCCUCGAUUACUUGGAUG